rnacentral:rRNA from 1 species
UACGUAGGUGGCAAGCGUUAUCCGGAUUUAUUGGGUGUAAAGGGCGUGUAGGCGGGAGCGCAAGUCAGAUGUGAAAACUCAGGGCUCAACCCUGAGCCUGCAUUUGAAACUGUGUUUCUUGAGUGCUGGAGAGGCAAUCGGAAUUCCGUGUGUAGCGGUGAAAUGCGUAGAUAUACGGAGGAACACCAGUGGCGAAGGCGGAUUGCUGGGCAGUAACUGACGCUGAGGCGCGAAAGCGUGGGGAGCAAACAGG